CAGCUUAACGAUAGAGGAGCUGAUAUUUUAGUCAGUGAGGCUCUGUUAGCUUCAGUGACGAUACUAAAGACUUUGUUCCUGAUCUCAUCAGCUAGUCUGAGAAACGAGACACGGCGGCUCAUCUGGUGCCGUUUAAAUGUGUUUCUGCUGUUUGUCAUGGUUUUCAUUUUUCUGCUCAUCUCCACCUUUAUACUCUGAAGCGUUUCCUUAACCUGUCAGAUCUCCUACAUAAACCAACUGUUACUUUUGACUUCAACAUGUCAGUCAAGGUAUUUCUACAGUUUGGAAGCAAAUAAAAGAAUCAGGAGCCGUUUGUGUUAGUAUGAUUUAACAUAAAGGUCAGAAUCAUUGUUUCCUGUGGAGUCCCUCAGCUCUGCAGAGGAUUUUAUUUCCUCUAAGUGUGAUUUCUCUCCCUCGGGACGACCAGAGUGAAGUCUGGAUGAGAGCUGGUUCACCGUGUCUCUGUUCAUCUGCAGAGCUGGAGGCCAAGCAGCGGGUGAUGGAGGACAUGCGUCUGGCCCUGACUGAGCAGGAGGAGACCCAGGAGCAGAUGGAGCAGGUCCUGGAGGAGAAGAUGGCGCUCCUCCAGGAGCUCUCUGCUGAGGUAAACAGGCUGAAGGAGAAGGUGCUGCAGCAGAACCAGGGAGCCGGCGGGCCCUCAGAGGACCUGGACCUGGCCAAGGAUGAAGCUUCACGAGCUCAGGAGAGCUUAAAGAUCCUGACAGAGAAGAGCCAGGCUGAACGCAGGAGGUGGCAGGAGGAGAAGCUGUCUCUGAUUGGUCAAGCCAAAGAGGCAGAAGACAAGAGGAACCAGGAAAUGAGGAAGUUUGCAGAAGACCGAGAGCGCUACUGCCGCCAGCAGAGCCUCUUAGAGUCCAAGCUGCUGGAGAAGGAGGCGGCCAUGGAGAGCUGGAGGAAGGAGAGGGACGCCCUGGUUGCUGCCCUGGAGGUGCAGCUGCAGAAGCUGCUGUCCAGCCAAGCAGAGAAAGACAAAGUCAUCAAGGAGCUGAGUGAGCAGAGCUCAAAGCAGCCAGCAGAGGUCAGUGUGGCGCCACCGCUUCCUUCCUCCUACGUCCUGCUGUCUCCCGAUCUACGAGCAAACACCCGGAUCCCUCAUAAGCGCUCGGAGGAAGACGCUCCGCAGUCAUCUUUACGUUGACAACUGUCUGGACUACUUUGGCGAGCGAUCAUGUAUGCGUAUCCCGUGUUGCGUAAAACUCCUCAGGGUCGACUCCUGAUGGGCCGACUGAGGAGGCAAAUAGGAGUACGGUGGUGGUGGCCGGGAGGGCCCGGCGUAAGGAGGAGGUUCUGGCCGAGGCCGCUGCCUUUGUGAGGCAGAACGGAGGGGAUCCUGGUGACCAGUUCCUGGAUCUGGCUCAUUGUAAGAUCCAGUUUGGAAAACACCAGAACCAGAGGUUCCGCUGGCUGCUGGAGAACUCCCUGGGUUACGCGGUGUAGCUGGUCAGCAGCAUCACGGGGGAGGAGGAGAGGGAGGAGCCGCUGUCGGCCAGCAAACACCUGUUUCUCAGGUACACCUCCCAGAUCAGGGAGAUAGGGGAGGCUGUGGAGGUGUAUGGGAAGAAGCAGGCCUUGCUCCAGGAGGCCCAGAGGAGCGGUGACUCUGGGUGUUUGAUGGUGGAGUUUGGCGACUUCAAGGGCAGGUCCAUGAAGGAGGUGUAUGAGGAGCCAGGCAAGGAGGCCCAGGCUCUGGUCACCUACCUGAAGACAGCAAAGGCCAGGCCAAACACCAACAUGGCCCUUUUCAAGGACUAUGUGCUGAAGAGGCAGGCUUCAGCUGUAGCCCACCUGCCCACUGUCACAGCUCCUUCCUCCUCCUCCUCCGCUGCCACUCCACCUGCUGCCACUCCACCUGCUGCCACUCCACCUGCUGCCACUCUGAGCAGGCCCCUGACGGCUGACGGCGUUAACGCUCUGCUGGCACGUGGGAAGCAUUUGUCUCCCUCACAGUUGGCAUGAAAAAUUGUUUCUCCAGCCAAACCCUCUCCAGUGCCACGUGUCCCCUCUCCGUCUACAUCCGCUGCCCUCAGACAGCUCUUUAAUUGUG